GAUGAACGCUGGCGGCGUGCCUAACACAUGCAAGUCGAACGGACUUUUCAUGAAGCCUAGCGAUUGAAAAGUUAGUGGCGGACGGGUGAGUAACGCGUGGGUAACCUGCCUUGUACUGGGGGACAACAGUUGGAAACGACUGCUAAUACCGCAUAAGCGCACAGCUUCGCAUGAAGCAGUGUGAAAAACUCCGGUGGUACAAGAUGGACCCGCGUCUGAUUAGCUGGUUGGUGAGGUAACGGCCCACCAAGGCGACGAUCAGUAGCCGGCCUGAGAGGGUGAACGGCCACAUUGGGACUGAGACACGGCCCAAACUCCUACGGGAGGCAGCAGUGGGGAAUAUUGCACAAUGGGGGAAACCCUGAUGCAGCAACGCCGCGUGAGUGAAGAAGUAUUCGGUAUGUAAAGCUCUAUCAGCAGGAAAGAAAAUGAACGGUACCUGACUAAGAAGCCCCGGNUAACUACGUG
rnacentral:rRNA from 1 species